rnacentral:rRNA from 1 species
CGUUUGACCUCGGAUCAGGUAGGGAUACCCGCUGAACUUAAGCAUAUCAAUAAGCGGAGGAAAAGAAACCAACAGGGAUUGCCCUAGUAGCGGCGAGUGAAGCGGCAACAGCUCAAAUUUGAAAUCUGGCUCUUUUAGAGUCCGAGUUGUAAUUUGCAGAGGGCGCUUUGGCUUUGGCAGCGGUCCAAGUUCCUUGGAACAGGACGUCACAGAGGGUGAGAAUCCCGUACGUGGUCGCUAGCUAUUGCCGUGUAAAGCCCCUUCGACGAGUCGAGUUGUUUGGGAAUGCAGCUCUAAAUGGGAGGUAAAUUUCUUCUAAAGCUAAAUAUUGGCCAGAGACCGAUAGCGCACAAGUAGAGUGAUCGAAAGAUGAAAAGCACUUUGGAAAGAGAGUCAAACAGCACGUGAAAUUGUUGAAGGGGAAGCGCUUGCAGCCAGACUUGCUUGCAGUUGCUCAUCCGGGCUUUUGCCCGGUGCACUCUUCUGCAGGCAGGCCAGCAUCAGUUUGGGCGGUGGGAUAAAGGUCUCUGACACGUUCCUUCCUUCGGGUUGGCCAUAUAGGGGAGACGUCAUACCACCAGCCUGGACUGAGGUCCGCGCAUCUGCUAGGAUGCUGGCGUAAUGGCUGUAAGCGGCCCGUCUUGAAGCACGGACCAAGGAGUCUAACAUCUAUGCGAGUGUUUGGGUGUCAAGCCCGAGCGCGUAAUGAAAGUGAACGGAGGUGGGAACCCGCAAGGGUGCACCAUCGACCGAUCCUGAAGUUUACGGAAGGAUUUGAGUAAGAGCAUGGCUGUUGGGACCCGAAAGAUGGUGAACUAUGCUUGAAUAGGGUGAAGCCAGAGGAAACUCUGGUGGAGGCUCGCAGCGGUUCUGACGUGCAAAUCGAUCGUCAAAUUUGGGCAUAGGGGCGAAAGACUAAUCGAACUAUCUAGUAGCUGGUUCCUGCCGAAGUUUCCCUCAGGAUAGCAGUAACGUAUUCAGUUUUAUGAGGUAAAGCGAAUGAUU